rnacentral:lncRNA from 1 species
AGCAGGACCAACUUAAAGAGUGAAAGCCACUCCUGGUGAGAGACAGCCUUUCCUCUGAUUGCAACAAAUGUAAGACCUUUUUCAUCCUGUCAGCCCGUUUUCAUGUUUAAAAUGCCAGUGAGGCGAAGAUUUCAGCCUGGGAAAUCCAAAGCUCCUUUAGUUUUUCUUGCUAUAAGCCUGGACUUAGUCUGUGCACCUCAAAGGCUGAGCAUUUGACAUGCAAAAAGAAAUAUCUUCCAUAUUUCUGACUGGCCCUGAGGCCAUGGCUAGACCUGAUUGCUCCUACCCAGGCCUUGCAGUCCCUGCACAUUACCAUCAACUGAGAGACAGUCAGACUGGCACAAAGGAGAAAUGUAACCAGGCCUUCAAAAAAAGAAGAAAAGAGGUCUGACCUGAGGAAUCACCAUGACACCAUCUGUAACUUCAGAUGUUUUUAGAACAUUUCAGUGAAGCUGAGGAAGUCGGCAGUGGUCACAGUUUUUAGCUUGAGAAAAGAGAGAGCAAAAGAACCCUCAACUUGUUUAACCAGAAUGCAUGUUUCUUGAACAAAUCUUCAUCUCAGUGGUCAUAUUUCCAGAAAGCAAACCAAUUUUUUGUCGGUCACAUUUCUUGCUCUACCCCUGCCUCAUUCUGCUGUGAAGUAUAUUUGCCUUUUAGUACAGCACUGUUCUCACCCCAUCUGUACCCCUCAGCUCUUGCAGAGUGUAAUGCCUCCUUCAUCUUCUGUCAGCAAGGUGAAGAAAUGAGGGAUGAAGGUACUCCCUACUUCCACUCAGUUUGUUAAAGUUUAAAUGACUACACAAAUGAAGACAUCAGAAAUGUUCCAAUAUAUUAUCUUCUUUUGGAGAAAAUGAAAGCCUCCUGAAAAUAAUUGUUUAGAGGGCUUUUCUCAUUGAAGCGCUGCAUUUUCAUUGAUACGAGUUCCUUUGUUAUGGACUUCAAUAAGAGAGGUGUUAAAAGUUUGAAAUUAUUGUUAAAAUAAAAAAAAAAAAAAAAGAAGAAAAAAAGAUUGU